UACGGGGGGAGCAAGCGUUGUUCGGAUUUACUGGGCGUAAAGGGCUCGUAGGCGGCCAACUAAGUCAGACGUGAAAUCCCUCGGCUUAACCGGGGAACUGCGUCUGAUACUGGAUGGCUUGAGUUUGGGAGAGGGAUGCGGAAUUUCCAGGUGUAGCGGUGAAAUGCGUAGAUAUCUGGAGGAACACCGGUGGCGAAGGCGGCAUCCUGGACCGACAUUGACGCUGAGGCGCGAAAGCCAGGGGAGCAAAACGGG
rnacentral:rRNA from 1 species